CGGGCGCUGCACGGUGCGAUCGGUCAAUUUAUCCCCGGGGCCAAUGUAUGAACUCCAGGGAGCUGUCCCUGCCGGAAUCGUGGUUCCGGUAUAUGGUUCCCACCUGCUAAGUGCAGGCCACGGAGGGAUUAUGCUACCGGACGGCCGAGGCGGCUCCGCC
rnacentral:other from 1 species